UACAGAGGGUGCAAGCGUUGUUCGGAAUUAUUGGGCGUAAAGGGCGCGUAGGCGGCCUGGCAAGUGGAAGGUGAAAUCCCUCGGCUUAACCGAGGAACUGCCCUCCAAACUGCUUGGCUUGAGUCCGGGAGAGGUGAGUGGAAUUCCCAGUGUAGCGGUGAAAUGCGUAGAUAUUGGGAGGAGCACCAGUGGCGAAGGCGGCUCACUGGACCGGAACUGACGCUGAGGCGCGAAAGCGUGGGGAGCAAACAGG
rnacentral:rRNA from 1 species